UUGUAUUGAACGAGCAACGUUAGUGACACUGAGGUUUCUACUCGGCUCUCUGGUGAGGGGUUGAGCUAGCCUCGUGUGAGCUAGCGGGUAGCUACUUUUGUAUUCGAGGCAUGGUGUUCUGCAUUUCUGUGUCGCCUUGGGCGUCAAGAACAUUAUAAUCCAACUUGGAUGGAACAACUUCGUGACCUUAAUGACACCCAGCAACACGGUGAGAUUAUAAUCCAUUUAAAUGCCAGAAGCAAGCAAUUAUUUGUUUUUAAGAUGUUUUUUUCUUUAUUUGUGUUAGAGCUAGAGAGACACACAAGCAGCACAGGGGAGGAUCUGCAGCAAAGGGACCACCGGAAACCUUUGGCCGCCAUGAUGACGACAACAUGGGGCACUUGAGUGUGAAUCUAGCCUUUUCAUUUUUAUUUACAACAUUAGCAUUGAAAAGAGCAAAAGUUGAUGCUUGAGAUGAUUUUGUUUUUACUGAAGAGGAUGUAUGUCCUCCCCUUGUCCUUUAUCCCCUUACUCUUUCUUUUUAGGUGUGAUUACGAUUACCAGCAUGGACCUCAACACCUUCUUUGCUGUUCCACUCGUGUGACCCAUGAUCGGAUUCAAGUUGUCAAGGAUAAACGGGAAGAGAAUCAUGUCAGCCCACAGACAACCGGUUGACCUGUGAGUCUUCAAGCAGUAAUGAUGACUACGCCUGCCUUAAGUUCCAGUUUCCUGGACAUCAUGUCGGCAUGAGAUUCUGUCCCCACCUGUCUUCAGUCUGGACCCAAUGAGUUUUUUUUUUUUACAGUGCGUUUACAGUCACAUGGUUUAUUUCGAGGCUUUGUCUGAGUUUCAGUGCUGCAGUUAUUUACCAUUCAGGGUUGUUCAGAAACAUCCAAUUUGUCAUUCUCAUUUGAAGGGCUUGCUGCUGUGAUUCUUUUGUGUACACCAGGAUUUCUUUGUAUUUUGGCAUUUUACACAAAUGUUUUUGAAAGAUGGUCAACAAAGUUGCACAAAUAAAUGUUUACAUGCUG